AAAAAAUUAGUUAAAUUAUAACAUAAGCUUGUCGAGCUUAAAUUAUCUCCUUGAGAUAUUUUUUU
rnacentral:tRNA from 1 species